rnacentral:rRNA from 1 species
AUGCAAGUCGAGCGGGGGAAGGUAGCUUGCUACUGGACCUAGCGGCGGACGGGUGAGUAAUGCUUAGGAAUCUGCCUAUUAGUGGGGGACAACAUCUCGAAAGGGAUGCUAAUACCGCAUACGUCCUACGGGAGAAAGCAGGGGAUCUUCGGACCUUGCGCUAAUAGAUGAGCCUAAGUCGGAUUAGCUAGUUGGUGGGGUAAAGGCCUACCAAGGCGACGAUCUGUAGCGGGUCUGAGAGGAUGAUCCGCCACACUGGGACUGAGACACGGCCCAGACUCCUACGGGAGGCAGCAGUGGGGAAUAUUGGACAAUGGGGGGAACCCUGAUCCAGCCAUGCCGCGUGUGUGAAGAAGGCCUUAUGGUUGUAAAGCACUUUAAGCGAGGAGGAGGCUACUUUAGUUAAUACCUAGAGAUAGUGGACGUUACUCGCAGAAUAAGCACCGGCUAACUCUGUGCCAGCAGCCGCGGUAAUACAGAGGGUGCGAGCGUUAAUCGGAUUUACUGGGCGUAAAGCGUGCGUAGGCGGCUUAUUAAGUCGGAUGUGAAAUCCCCGAGCUUAACUUGGGAAUUGCAUUCGAUACUGGUGAGCUAGAGUAUGGGAGAGGAUGGUAGAAUUCCAGGUGUAGCGGUGAAAUGCGUAGAGAUCUG